rnacentral:rRNA from 1 species
GCGGGCCAGGGGAAAGGCAGCUUGCUGAAUUGGAUCAGGGGCGAACGGGUGAGUAACACGUGAGCAACCUGCCCCAAACUCUGGAAUAAGCGCUGGAAACGGCGUCUAAUACUGGAUACGAGACCAACCUGCAUGGGUAUGGUUUGGAAAGUUUUUCGGUUUGGGAUGGGCUCGCGGCCUAUCAGCUUGUUGGUGAGGUAAUGGCUCACCAAGGCGACGACGGGUAGCCGGCCUGAGAGGGCGACCGGCCACACUGGGACUGAGACACGGCCCAGACUCCUACGGGAGGCAGCAGUGGGGAAUAUUGCACAAUGGGCGAAAGCCUGAUGCAGCGACGCCGCGUGAGGGAUGACGGCCUUCGGGUUGUAAACCUCUUUCAGCAGGGAAGAAGCGAAAGUGACGGUACCUGCAGAAGAAGCACCGGCUAACUACGUGCCAGCAGCCGCGGUAAUACGUAGGGUGCGAGCGUUGUCCGGAAUUAUUGGGCGUAAAGAGCUUGUAGGCGGUUUGUCGCGUCUGCUGUGAAAAUCCGGGGCUCAACCCCGGACUUGCAGUGGGUACGGGCAGACUAGAGUGUGGUAGGGGAGACUGGAAUUCCUGGUGUAGCGGUGAAAUGCGCAGAUAUCAGGAGGAAC